rnacentral:sRNA from 1 species
AGGAGUUCGCGAUAGAUCGCAAGCUGAUUUCUGUAGACCGGCGCUAUCUCUUCGGGCGUCUCAGGGAUUUC